rnacentral:lncRNA from 1 species
AAAAUCACACUUUUAUCCGCUAGGGUUUUUGAAGUUUGGCUCGUGCGUCGCGAUAAUCGCCAAUGGCGAAACCUAGCCGCGGCCGUCGUUCACCUUCCGUCUCUGGGUCUUCAUCUCGGUCCCCCGCCGAAGAAGGAAAACUAUAAGAAGAAAGAGUUACCAGUGGUUACGAUGAACUAUUCUCCAAACCGCACAAGACUAUAUAUGUUGCACGCCUAAAACUCACGGCAAAAAGUCAAACUAGGAUGAGAAAUCGUGGAAAGAUAUUGAAUACUUUUUCUUUGGUUUGUGAACCAUAGCGUAUGUACCAUCCAGCUGUAGACAAAAAUAAUAAUAAUAAUCAGAAUGUCAUUUAAUGAAAUAAUCGACAUUUCAACUAUAGGAUCAUGGACAAAAUGAGUCGUUGACUCUUGGCAAAAACCACAGUAGGUGUACUUGUCAUGUAGAAAUCAUAUACCGUUAAAGCUCCAAAUCAUCACUAAACUAUGAAAUGUACAGAACAAGUGACACAAAAAUAGAUAUAGCAUAUGGCUAAUGGAUCAUGGGAACCUCAAGUGGUGACUUACUGGUUAAUCAAUCGGACAGUGAUUGGUUUAACCUCUCGGUUAAGACGCAUUCAAGACAACUGAAUCAAUGAAGCUACAACAUAUAGAUAUCAGACAUCAUAACUAUUUUUUGGGGACCAAUUCAGAUACGGUUUCAAUCUUAUAUACAUACACACAAAUCUAUGAUUGCAACUAAAGACAAAAUCUAACAGAAAGAAACCUUCUGUUUGGGUCCAAGGAAGAAGAAGAAGAAGAUGAUGGGACCACAAAAACAUCAAAGACAAAAAAAAAACGUUUUCUCCUUUUCUUUUCUAAAUGGUACUGCUGAGUGUAGAAACCGCAGUAGAUGAAGAAGCCCCUGACGAGUAAGCAUUUGAGUUAUCUCUAGUCCCGGUGCUAGACGAGGCAUUAUCUGAAGAAAGAUUCGUGUAGUAGUUGCUGCGUCUGUUCACUUCCUCUGGCUUUUUCUCGACCGGUCCUUUCACUUUCAAGUCCAUAAAAUCAGAAAUCAAACCCGGUCUGGUUAUGUUCCUGCUCUCUAUAUCCUUCUUCUCCCCUGUUAACAGCUUCACCACCGUGGACAUACUUGGCCUUAGCUUAGGAUUGUCUUGCGUGCACAAAAGACCUAUUUUUAGGUACCGGCAAGCUUCCUCUCCGUCAAAGACUCCGUUUAGCCCUGUGUCAACGAGAUCCACGAGCUCAUUUCGCUCAUAAAGAUCCCAAGCCUGUGGAAAUGCAAGAAAAAAAGUUAUAUCUCUAAAACCAAAGAGCUUACAAAAGAACAUAAAAGGCAAGAGACUUACUCUUUCUAGAAGAUAUUGAUACCCCUGGGGUAACCGUGUGUUUUUGUUACUUCUUGCACUAACUAUCUCCAUCAGAAGGACUCCAUAGCUGUAAACAUCAGCUUUGCGCGUAACCUGUCCCCUAACCGCAUACUCUGGCGCUAGAUAACCACUGCACAAACCAGAUGUUAAUUAAGAACCUUUACUUAUAGCGAGAAUAUAAAAAAAAACGCUUGAAACUCACAUUGUACCGGCGACACGAGUGCUGACAUGAGUCAUGUUCGGCGGCAUAAGCUUGGCGAGUCCAAAAUCAGCUAUCUUGGGAGAUAAGUCUCUGUCAAGUAGAAUGUUGCUCGCCUUGAUAUCUCUAUGAAUAAUGUGAGGCCUUACUUCUUCAUGAAGAAAGGCAAGACCUUUAGCAACCCCAACGCAGAUUCUGGACCGAGUUCUCCAAUCAAACUGUAUCCCACUCUUAAUGUAUCCCCCAGCUGAAAAAAAAACAUUCAUCCAUCGAGAAUAUGACAUUAAAGAAACUGACAAACAAACUACGAGAAUCACCUAAGAGGGUCUUAUCAAGGCUAUUGUUCUCCAGAUAGUUGUAGACAAGUAUCCUGUGAUUCCCUUCCACGCAGCAUCCGUAUAACUUAACCAGAUUCUCAUGCUGUAUCUCUGAUAUGACGUUGAUCUCAGUCAAGAACUCUUUCACGCCUUGUCUUGACUCAGCGGAAAGGACUUUGAUAGCUGCAAUCUUUCCAUCUUUAAGACGGCCCUAUAAUCAUUGUUUGGGUUAAGAAGAUGACGAGAGAAGAGCAAGGAAGUGAGUUUUCUCAUUUUACCUUGUACACAGAGCCAAACCCUCCCUCUCCAAUUUUAUUUAGGGCGUCGAAAUCAUCAGUAGCUUGACGAAUCUCUUUGUAUUUGUAAAUCUUUACCUUGAUUAUCGCUGAGAUCUCUGUAAGCAAGAAAGAUAAACAAACACUAAGUUAAGAGGAAACCAGCAACAAGACUAUGCAUAGUUAACAUUCCAAGCUUAAAAGUAGUAUAUGUUACCUCUAUCAACUUGUGAAGGUUCUCCUCCACUCUUAUGGCAUGAGAAACAGGAGCCCAUCAUUGUAAUAAGACAGACCUGUGAACUGUUGAUGCCAUCAAUUAUAAUGAUUACACACGAAGAAAGAAACGAGACCAGUUCAGAGAUUUGAAUUCUAACUAGUAAACCAGAGAUAAGAUCGAAUCCAAUUACUACUACUCAAUAGAAUCUCUAUCCAAGUAAGAAACUCCCCAAAGACCUCAGAAGCUAAAGCAACUUAAAAAAAAAGCUGCCGACUUUGAAUUUGGGUUUCUUAGGAUUGAGAACAAAAACUCAAAACAGACACAAAUAAAACGAAAUUCAGCGGAAAAAUAGAAAGAAAGAGAAACCCACCUCAGAGAGAGUUGAAAUUGGUAUAAAAAAGGCUCUGACUUUACGCGAUCAGAGUCGCUCUGUCUCUCUUAUUAUCCUCGCUGUGUGUGUGUGGAUAUCAGAGAUUAAGGAUUUGAUGAAAAUGGAGUAGGAGAGGGAAAGAAUGAAGAAGAAGGAAGAAGAAGGGGUCUUUGUAAAUCUGAAGCACGCGUCAGUACUAUAUCUUGUGCGUUGCUCCGACGACUAAGCAAUGCUACAGUCUUUCUUCUCUUUUUGUACUUUUCUUUAUUUUAUCUCAUGUUAAAAUUGUCUGUUCUCAUAGGACGGCUCGGAGUAAUGCACUCAGACGUGUAUUCUCACAAAGUAGUAGAAUUAUCGACUGUAAAAUCGUCUAUGUAAUGUUCUCAAAAAAAAAAAAUUGUCUAUUCUCUUUGUUUAUGUAAUAAAUUAUCGUUUACCCGCCAAUCAUCUCGCGGAAUAUUAUUUUAACAGAGUUGUAAUUUGUAAAGAAAACCAAAAAAAAAAAUAAAAAAAUCACACUUUUAUCCGCUAGGGUUUUUGAAGUUUGGCUCGUGCGUCGCGAUAAUCGCCAAUGGCGAAACCUAGCCGCGGCCGUCGUUCACCUUCCGUCUCUGGGUCUUCAUCUCGGUCCAGCUCCAGAUCUCGUUCGAGUGGGUCCAGGUCUCUUUCCCGUUCUAGAUCGCUCUCUUCUUCUUCGCGGAGCGUGAGCUCAGGGAGUCGUAGUCCUCCACCUCGUGGAAA